GGGCUCAACCUGGGAACGGCAUCCGGAACGGCAGGCUAGAGUGCAGGAGAGGAAGGUAGAAUUCCCGGUGUAGCGGUGAAAUGCGUAGAGAUCGGGGAGGAAUACCAGUGGCGAAGGCGGCCUUCUGGACUGACACUGACGCUGAGGUGAAAGCGUGGGUAGCAAACAGGAUCAUAUACCCUGGUAGUCCACCCCGAAAUCGAUGUCGAUUACCCGUUGGGCCCCUAGAGGACUUAGUGGCGCAGUACACGAGAUAAGUCGCCCCCGUGGGGAGUACGCCCGCAAGGUUAAAACUCAAAUGAAUUGACGGGGGCCCGCCCAAGCGGUGGAGCAUGUGGUUUAAUUUGAUGCAACGCGAAGAACCUUACCUACCCUUGACAUCCUGCGAACCCGGAAGAGAUUCCGGGGUGCCUUCGGGAGCGCAGAGACAGGUGCUGCAUGGCUGUCGUCAGCUCGUGUUGUGAAAUGUUGGGUUAAGUCCCGUAACGAGCGCAACCCUUGUCCCUAUUUGCCAGCGAUUCGGUCGGGAACUCUAGGGAGACUGCCGGUGACAAACCGGAGGAAGGUGGGGACGACGUCAAGUCAUCAUGGCCCUUACGGGUAGGGCUACACACGUGCUACAAUGGCCGGUACAAAGGGUUGCGAAGCCGCGAGGUGAAGCCAAUCCCAGAAAGCCGGCCUCAGUCCGGAUUGGAGUCUGCAACUCGACUCCAUGAAGUCGGAAUCGCUAGUAAUCGUGCAUCAGAAUGGCACGGUGAAUACGUUCCCGGGCCUUGUACUACACCGCCCG
rnacentral:rRNA from 1 species